rnacentral:rRNA from 1 species
AUUGAACGCUGGCGGCAGGCCUAACACAUGCAAGUCGAACGAGUGGCGGACGGGUGCGUAAUGUCGGGGAACCGGCCUGAUGGAGGGGGAUAACUACUGGAAACGGUAGCUAAUACCGCAUACCAUCAGAUGUGCCCAGAUGGGAGUAGCUAGUUGGUGGGGUAACGGCUCACCAAGGCGACGAUCCCGAGACGGUCUGAGAGGAUGAACGGCCAAACGGGAACGGAGCCACGGUCCAGACUCCUACGGAAGGCAGCAGUGGGGAAUAGUGCACAAUGAGCGAAAGCCUGAGGCAGCCAUGCCGGGUGUAUGAAGAAGGCCUUCGGGUUGUAAAGUACUUUCAGCGGGGAGGCGUUACCCGCAGAAGAAGCACCGGCUAACUCCGGGCCAGCAGCCGCGGUAAUAC